GGUCGCUUAGCUCAGCUGGUUAGAGCGUUACUUUGACAUAGUAAAGGCCAGAGGUUCGAAUCCUCUAGCGGCCA
rnacentral:tRNA from 3 species